CCUACGGGGGGCAGCAGUGGGGAAUAUUGCACAAUGGGGGAAACCCUGAUGCAGCGACGCCGCGUGAGUGAAGACGUAUUUCGGUACGUAAAGCUCUAUCAGCAGGGAAGAAAAUGACGGUACCUGACUAAGAAGCCCCGGCUAACUACGUGCCAGCAGCCGCGGUAAUACGUAGGGGGCAAGCGUUAUCCGGAUUUACUGGGGGUAAAGGGAGCGUAGACGGCAGCGCAAGUCUGGAGUGAAAUCCCAUGGCUUAACCAUGGAACUGCUUUGGAAACUGUGCAGCUAGAGUGCAGGAGAGGUAAGCGGAAUUCCUAGUGUAGCGGUGAAAUGCGUAGAUAUUAGGAGGAACACCAGUGGCGAAGGCGGCUUACUGGACUGUAACUGACGUUGAGGCUCGAAAGCGUGGGGAGCAAACAGGAUUAGAUACCCGAGUAGUC
rnacentral:rRNA from 1 species